rnacentral:rRNA from 1 species
UGGGGAAUAUUGCACAAUGGGCGAAAGCCUGAUGCAGCAACGCCGCGUGAGUGAUGAAGGCCUUCGGGUUGUAAAGCUCUGUCUUCUGGGACGAUAAUGACGGUACCAGAGGAGGAAGCCACGGCUAACUACGUGCCAGCAGCCGCGGUAAUACGUAGGUGGCAAGCGUUGUUUGGAAUUACUGGGCGUAAAGCGUACGUAGGCGGAUGCGCAAGUUGGGGGUGAAAUCCCGGGGCUUAACCUCGGAAUUGCCCUCAAAACUGCACGUCUUGAGACCGAGAGAGGUAAGGGGAAUUCCUAGUGUAGAGGUGAAAUUCGUAGAUAUUAGGAAGAACACCAGUGGCGAAGGCGCCUUACUGGCUCGGUACUGACGCUGAGGUACGAGAGCGUGGGGAGCAAGCA